GAUGAACGCUGGCGGCGUGCCUAAUACAUGCCAGUCGAGCGAACGGACGAGAAGCUUGCUUCUCUGAUGUUAGCGGCGGACGGGUGAGUAACACGUGGAUAACCUACCUAUAAGACUGGGAUAACUUCGGGAAACCGGAGCUAAUACCGGAUGAUAUUUUGAACCGCAUGGUUCAAAAGUGAAAGACGGUCUUGCUGUCGCUUAUAGAUGGAUCCGCGCUGCAUUAGCUAGUUGGUAAGGUAACGGCUUACCAAGGCAACGAUGCAUAGCCGACCUGAGAGGGUGAUCGGCCACACUGGAACUGAGACACGGUCCAGACUCCUACGGGAGGCAGCAGUAGGGAAUCUUCCGCAAUGGGCGAAAGCCUGACGGAGCAACGCCGCGUGAGUGAUGAAGGUCUUCGGAUCGUAAAACUCUGUUAUUAGGGAAGAACAUAUGUGUAAGUAACUGUGCACAUCUUGACGGUACCUAAUCAGAAAGCCACGGCUAACUACGUG
rnacentral:rRNA from 1 species